rnacentral:rRNA from 1 species
AUGAUUCAAGAUUAGCCAUGCAUGUCUAAGAAUAAACUCUUGAAUGGUGAAUCUGCGAAUGGCUCAUUAAAUCAGUUAUUGUUUAUUUGAUGGUACCUUACUACAUGGAUAACCGUAGUAAUUCUAGAGCUAAUACAUGCGUAAAGCCCCAUCUCGGGGUGCAUUUAUUAGAUUCAAACCAUCUGGGCACCUUCACGGGUGUCCUUUUGAUGGUGAGUCAUAAUAACUGAGCGAAUCGAAUUGGCCUUGUGCCGUCGAUGCUUCAUUCAAAUUUCUGCCCUAUCAGCUUUCGAUGGUAGGAUCUUGGCCUACCAUGGCUAUAACGGGUAACGGGGAAUUAGGGCUCGAUUCCGGAGAGGGAGCUUGAGAAACGGCUACCACAUCCAAGGAUGGCAGCAGGCGCGCAAAUUACCCAAUCCCGACACGGGGAGGUAGUGACAAAAAUAAUGAUGCUGGAUUAUCAUAAUCCGGCAAUUGGAAUGAGAGUAAUUUAAAUCAAU